CAGCACCUCAAGUGGUAAGGAUGAUUAUUGGGCCUAAAGCAUCCGUAGCCGGCGCUGUAAGUUUUCGGUUAAAUCUGUACGCUCAACGUACAGGCUGCCGGGAAUACUGCAGCGCUAGGGAGUGGGAGAGGUAGACGGUACUCGGUAGGAAGGGGUAACAUCCUUUGAUCUAUUGAUGACCACCUGUGGCGAAGGCGGUCUACCAGAACACGUCCGACGGUGAGGGAUGAAAGCUGGGGGAGCAAACCGGAUUAGAUACCCGAGUAGUCC
rnacentral:rRNA from 1 species